UACGUAGGGUGCGAGCGUUAAUCGGAAUUACUGGGCGUAAAGCGUGCGCAGGCGGUUUUGUAAGCCAGAUGUGAAAUCCCCGGGCUUAACCUGGGAACUGCGUCUGAUACUGGACGGCUGGAGUUUGGGAGAGGGAUGUAGAAUUCCAGGUGUAGCGGUGAAAUGCGCAGAUAUCAGGAGGAACACCAAUUGCGAAGGCAGCUCGCUGGGACGUUACUGACGCUGAGACGCGAAAGCGUGGGGAGCAAACAGG
rnacentral:rRNA from 1 species